CGUACACUCCUGCGGGAGGCAGCAGUGGGGAAUUUUGGACAAUGGGCGAAAGCCUGAUCCAGCCAUGCCGCGUGCAGGAUGAAGGCCUUCGGGUUGUAAACUGCUUUUGUACGGAACGAAACGGCCUUUUCUAAUAAAGAGGGCUAAUGACGGUACCGUAAGAAUAAGCACCGGCUAACUACGUGCCAGCAGCCGCGGUAAUACGUAGGGUGCAAGCGUUAAUCGGAAUUACUGGGCGUAAAGCGUGCGCAGGCGGUUAUGUAAGACAGUUGUGAAAUCCCCGGGCUCAACCUGGGAACUGCAUCUGUGACUGCAUAGCUAGAGUGCGGUAGAGGGGGAUGGAAUUCCGCGUGUAGCAGUGAAAUGCGUAGAUAUGCGGAGGAACACCGAUGGCGAAGGCAAUCCCCUGGACCUGUACUGACGCUCAUGCACGAAAGCGUGGGGAGCAAACAGGAUUAGAUACCCCUGUAGUCCCAUGAU
rnacentral:rRNA from 1 species